UUUCCCCCCGACUCUCCCUCCUCCCUCUCGUUUUUCUCCUUGCCGGUGAGAAAACCCCUACCGGUGACCACUCCAGCGUCGACCGAUCCAUCUCCAGCAGCCAUGGACGCCGGCCAAAGCUCAUCCAGCUGCCGGAAUGAAGAGAGAAAAGAGUGGAACCCGUGCGAUGGGGAGAGGACCAUCCAAGGCCGUUUUCAGUCAUCUCUGACGACGGAAAGACAGGGGACACCGGCAGCGAGCUUCUGGCAGCACUGGGUUCCUCAUUUGACCAAGACUCGCCGAUUUUAAUGGAGUUUUCCGGCAAGAAAUGAAGAGAGAGAAAGUGACUAUAGCGGCUUUCCGACCACUUUUCCGGCGAUCCAACCGUCGAAUCAGAAAUCCGAGACCACCGAUGGACUCAAGAUGACGAGAUCUUCAAGAUAGGACCGGUCUCGCUUCGAUUGAACACCGUUUGAAAAAGGCGAUAAUAGACGGUCCAGAUCGCUUGGUGCAAUCCGAUCAAGGAUAGCUCACCGGUGCCGGGAUCGCAUUUUCAGCCAGAUCUGGCAGCCCGGUAGCCCGUCUUAGAACAUGGUCAAUAUUACAGUCAAUCCUAGCAUUUUCAGACGUUUUGGACGCGUCCCAGGUGUCAGAAUUGGUAUAGGCUACAAGAGGAGACCUUUUUCAGAAUAACCUGUCCCUUUCCUCGCAGGUUAUGAAAAGAUUACUUAAUUGUAUUAUUAUUCUCUAAAUUUGUAAUUUAGGACCCGCAUGUACUAGUAAUAGCAUUAAUCCUGUCAGGGACUGCAUGAAUUUAAAUUUUUGUAUUAACAAAUGAAAAAAAUUUUAUGAGUCUUGAAUAGUUUGUAAAUGAUGUAACAGGGUUGAGCUGGAAUUCCCUAAUUUUAGUUUUGGAUAAUUGCUGGACCAAAG